ensembl:lncRNA
UUUUUUUUUUUUUUUUUUUUUUUUUUUUUUUUUGCAUGAAUACUGAUGGUAUACUCCCUGUUCACCCAUGACUGCAUGGCCACACGUGUACCAACAAUGAUGAGACGGCCUACAGGGAGGAGGUGAGGGCCCUGGCGGAGUGGUGCCAUGAAAAUAACCUCUCCCUCAACAUCAACAAAACAAAGAAGCUAAUCGUGGACUACAGGAGACAGCAAAGGGAGCACGCCCGCCUCCAGCCACAUCGACAGGGCCGCAGUGGAGAAGAGGAAGAUGGUCCUCCCCUUCCUCCUCUGACGAGCCUCCAUUGGCCCAGAGCCAUAUUUGUUCCAGAUGCACCAUUUUAUUAUCAGAGUGUGCCAGUGUACUCCAGAUCUGAGCCCUAGGACCAUGCCUCAGGACUACCUGGCAUGAUGACUCCUUGCUGUUCCCAGUCCACCUGGCCGUGCUGCUGCUCCAGUUUCAACUGUCCUGCCUGCGGCUAUGGAACCCUGACCUGUUCACUGUGAUUAUUAUUAUUUGACCAUGCUGGUCAUUUAUGAACAUUUGAACAUCUUGGCCAUGUUCUGUUAUAAUCUCCACCCGGCCCAGCCAGAAGAGGACUGGCCACCCCUCAUAGCCUGGUUCCUCUCUAGGUUUCUUCCUAGGUUUUGGCCUUUCUAGGUAGUUUUUCCUAGCCACCGUGCUUCUACACCUGCAUUGCUUGCUGUUUGGGGUUUUAGACUGGGUUUUUGUACAGCACUUUUUGUACAGCUGAUGUAAGAAGGGCUUUAUAAAUACAUUUGCUUUAAAUGGUGGACUAUUCUUACUA